UACAGAGGGUGCAAGCGUUAAUCGGAAUUACUGGGCGUAAAGCGAGCGUAGUCGGUUAUUUAAGUCGGAUGUGAAAUCCCCGGGCUCAACCUGGGAAUUGCAUUCGAUACUGGAUAGCUAGAGUUCGGCAGAGGGAAGCGGAAUUUCUGGUGUAGCGGUGAAAUGCGUAGAUAUCAGAAGGAACACCAGUGGCGAAGGCGGCUCACUGGACUGGUACUGACGCUGAGGCGCGAAAGCGUGGGGAGCAAACAGG
rnacentral:rRNA from 1 species